rnacentral:rRNA from 1 species
GACGUAGGGUGCAAGCGUUGUCCGGAUUUAUUGGGCGUAAAGAGCUCGUAGGCGGCUUGUUGCGUCGACUGUGAAAACCCGCGGCUUAACCGCGGGCUUGCAGUUGAUACGGGCAGGCUAGAGUUCGGUAGGGGAGACUGGAAUUCCUGGUGUAGCGGUGAAAUGCGCAGAUAUCAGGAGGAACACCGGUGGCGAAGGCGGGUCUCUGGGCCAUAACUGACGCUGAGAAGCGAAAGCAUGGGGAGCGAACAGG